rnacentral:rRNA from 1 species
AUUAGCUAGAUGGUGAGGUAACGGCUCACCAUGGCGACGAUUGGUAGCCGGACUGAGAGGUUGAACGGCCACAUUGGGACUGAGACACGGCCCAAACUCCUACGGGAGGCAGCAGUGGGGAAUAUUGCACAAUGGGGGGAACCCUGAUGCAGCGACGCCGCGUGAGUGAAGAAGUAUUUCGGUAUGUAAAGCUCUAUCAGCAGGGAAGAUGAUGACGGUACCUGACUAAGAAGCCCCGGCUAACUAC